GUGAUCGUGACGUUGAACUUUCUCAACAGAGGGUGCUAGAGGGACACUGAAGGAAGAAAGGACUCUCCCCUGUUCCCUGCUGCUUCCAGGGGUGCUAUCUCAAGCCUCUUACCAUGCCAGCUUCCAUCUGCAAGCCCAUAUACCUGACCCACCUCCCAGCUCCUCCCUGCAGGAUUGCCGUGGGGCUGGGCUCCCGCUCGCAAGCACACCCUUGUGCCUGGCCACCACGCGCCGUUCACGUCACAGUCACCCAGUACUCUGGUGCCCCUUCAGCAGCCCAGGUCCAUGUUGCAGCCAUCACCUGCAGGUCACUUAUGCGCUGCCUGAAUUCUGGAGGGUCGGUUUCUGCAGAUAAGCUCUGGUGCAUGCCAUGCCGCCCGUGAACUUCCCUGGCAUCUAGUGGGUUCCAGCUACAGCCUUGGGAGGGACCCUGUUUGAAGUUUAUUCUUCUCUCGCUACCCUCUCCCAGCCCUGGGAUUACCAUGUAGAGUUUCUUUUAUAUCCUAUAGUUAAUCUUUUAUCGAAGUCUAAUAAUGCUUCAUUAAAAAAAAUACGACAUGAUGUCUGCCUCGUGAUUGGCCCCAUUGAUGCUUGCACAUUUUGGCCUACAAUAAAGGUAAAUAUAACUUAAAACUUGUAAUAUUCGAGCUUCCACUGGUAUUGAGCCAGAUACCAUCUAAAGUUUCAAAUAAAAAAAUGACAUUUUAGAAAUAAAACUUUCCAAACUGCACAAAUCCAUAUUUAAAUUUCUUAAAUAUUUUGAAUAACAAGAAUUCAUACCUUUAAGUCUGCAAAUGGGUUCACUAUCAGGAUCAGAAUGUUGAGUAUUUGCCUAAAGUUGACAAAAACGCAGAACUGGGAACAGUCACUCCUGGACUCACAGGAAUUUUAGAAAGUAACAUACCCCCCCCCCCCCCCUUAUAGCUCCCAUCAAUGCAAAACGGCAAAACUCUUACUUGAGUUAAGAUUUUUUGUAGCAGAGCCUCUAGCUUACCAAUGUCUUUCUCCCUGUGGUUAUUAAACCUGGAACAGAAAAAAAAAAUCACUUGAUUUUAAUUUAUAUUCUUCUAGUCAGAGAAUAGGUGUUAGCAGGGGGUUCCUGGUUGUUUUUCUGAGGCUGAAUUAAACUGUAGCACCAAAUGAACGUUUCACGUAACUUGCUACAGUGUUUACUCAUGGUGUAAUUGCUCAGCACCACCGUGGACAAACCUCUGCAAGAAAGGUGAGGACAAAUGAGUCGUAAUGGAGGGUAAACACUUCACCUAAAACAAGGAAACACGGGCAAAUGUCCUACCUUCUAGGGUUGGGAACAAUCAGUUCAGGAAAGAAUCAAAGGCUCUCAUUGUUAACGGGGCACAAGUAAUGUGAUCGUGGAAAUGGGCGCAGGAACGGAGGGAGGAAUCGGAAUUCAGGGAGAGUAUAGAGGCGACAGUCUCCUCACCUGGCAUGGUAGAAAGUCAAGUUGUAAAGAAACAGGCAGAAGACCAGAGCAUCUUUCUCUAGAGAAACCAGACGGUGAGGGAGAAGGCACUAAUAUUCACUAGGAUCUGGAGACUCCCACCCCAUACUUGUCAGCAGACAGGACACCCCAAAACUUAGUGGUUCAAAUCAUGUAGAACUUGGUUUUUCUUUCAUGGAAAAAAGAGGCAUACGAGCAUGUAGGAUGGUCAGCAGCCCUGCCCAAUAUGGUCAACCAGGGACCACUGUCCCUUUCUGCUUAUUGUCUCCACAUGCCUUGGGGUGCUGUCCUCCUCAGCAAGGCAGAAGUUGGCUCCAAGCACCCCGUCAGCCCUUUGCAUGAGGAAAGAGGAAGCAGAGAACAAGCAGGGGAGUGACUGGGAAGUUGCAGCCAUGGGGAGGCUCUUGCUGAGGGGUCACGCGUCCUGCUGAUAUUUAAAGUGGUGGAAGUGAUUCUGUUCCUUAAAAUAAAAGCGGGAGGGGUUAAUUUAGGAAACCAAGGAGCAGUUUCUGCCACAACUGCAAUUUAAAUGCCUCACUGUACCAUCAACCCUGCAAGUAAGGCUAAUGCCGGCAAAAGUUGUUCGUAUCCAUAGAACUUUAAAUUAGGUGAUUUGGGCUUUGCUCUUAUAAAAAGAAAAACUGACCAAUGAUCGUUCGCACACUGUAAAGAGAA